UUCAAAGACUAAAACAUCCAACAUUGAAUGACUGGGGGAUCUUUACGUAAUACCCCCGCAGCACCCAUGACACUGUCCUGAGCAUGGCUCAUUUGAUCAGAGGUCUGAUAUUUGUUUUAGCAGCACCGGCUGUUGGUUACAUACUUAUGGUAGGGGUAUCACCUUCCGAGGACGAAGCACGAAGAAAACUCAAGCAGCAGAAUGAUCCAGCUUCAGAAAGAAUAAGACAGCAAAACCAAGCAUUGAUGAAACAAUUGCAAAAACAAGCAGGUAUUACAGAUGAACAGUUGAAAAAGAAGUAAUUCACUGGUUGAGGAAGAGCUAAAGUGUAGUUUUCUAGUGUGUGGAUGUGAGACAAAAUUGUACUUUAUGCUUGACUUUGUGGAAUAGGUCUCUUGUACAGUCAGAGUGAUCACCACCACCCAGCUAGCUCUCCAGGAUUCGGACAUGUUGCUACCAACGCUUGAUCACAUUGGCCCAGCAUACCUCACCCUUGUGAUGUCAGAUAAAGGCAUAUUAUGAUCUUGAAAAUACCUCAUUGUAUCAGAUAUUGACUUAUUAAAUCUUGUUGUUUAA